GGUCAUGACCCAAAGCUCAUGACCAUAGGUGAGGAUGGGAACGUAGAUCGACCGGUAAAUUGAGAGCUUUGCCUUCCGGCUCAGCUCCUUCUUCACCACAACGGAUCGGUACAACGUCCGCAUUACUGAAGACGCCGCACCGAUCCGCCUAUCGAUCUCAAGAUCCACUCUUCCCCCACUCGUGAACAAGACUCCUAGGUACUUGAACUCCUCCACUUGGGGCAGGGUCUCCUCCCCAACCCGGAGAUGGCAUUCCACCCUUUUCCGGGCGAGAACCAUGGACUCGGACUUGGAGUUGCUGUCAAAACCGUUGAAAUGGGGACAUUUAUUUUCUACAUUUCAAUAAUUCCCAGUUUUGUCAGAAUUCCAUAUUAAUCGGGCAAAAAUAUUGCCAUUGGAAUGAGUGGGUACUUCUCCAAAUUCCAUCGCACUCCUGAUUUUUUUUCACCAGCCCAAACUUCCGAAAAUUCUCGUAAUUCCAGAUUUUCUAUGCAGCAUGUCAGUUCAGCCUCAGCUCUUCAGCAGUCAUACCCGAUUCUUUAUUUUGCACUAAAUGUCAGGGGACACAAUGAAGUGUUUGUGUUUUUCAACCAAUGUGGCGAUGCAGGGAUUGGCCUAACCACUACCACUGUUUUUGCAUGAACGGGCACAAAGUUUAACAUGUUUUUUUUUCUUGUUAUUUGUGGUCCACAGUGGCACUUUAUCCUCUUGACAGGUCAACGGGGAGGUCAGUGAAGACAUUUUUUUUUUUUUAACCUUCCUCUUGUGUUAGCUUUCUGUUACCAUCUCUUAUGUUAACGGGUCUGUUUUGACCCAUGUUUUAAAUCAGCUGUAAAAUACACUAAAAACAAUUAUCUAUCAUCCAAUUUGUUUCUCGUCUCUUGGUUACCUUGUUAGGCUUCCUUAUCCUUGAAAAUAUUGGUUUUAAUAUUUUUGGUUUGGGCCAUUGGGCCUUAUUUUGUCAGUAUACCCCUCGAUUUCAAUUUUUUUAAAUGGUAAAACGAACCUCAAGAGAAUCAUAUAAAUAAAAAAAGGUUGUUGUGUUACCUAACUAUUACUAAGGGGUAUUAGAACACAUCUCUUAAAUAAAUGUGUUUUGUUUAUUUUUUCAUUUUAAGAUUUUUAACUAUAGUAACAUCUAUGGUGUUACGGGUCAAUUUCGACCCAUAUAUAUUUACUUCAAGAAAAAAGCUAAAAAGUAUUUUUUUCAGCAACAGAAAUCCAACAUCAAACAAACAACCAAUCAAGCAAAUAAAACCAAGAGAAAUAGAUUACAAGUUCCAAAACUAAUAAAAAAAAAAAAAUCAGAGUGGCAAAAAGUGACACUUUUAGUGUCCGUCUUUUGUUUGUUUUUGUACAGGAUAACGAGGUAAAAUGAGAAUCCACUAAAGCUCACAUGAUUGGGAGAGGAGCUGGCCAUCAGUGUGUUCAGUUUUGGCUCUUAUCAUUGUUUUAUCAUCUUAUUUUUAUAACCGGGUCGAAACCGACCCUAACAACACCAAGGGCAUAAUUUCUACCAGAGCAUUUUAUAAUUUAGUGAAAAAAAUUAAAAUGUUUUAUUUUGUUGACAAAGAGGUUCCUGACAAAGUCAAAAAGCGUUGAUGCAAAAAAAUAAAUGUAUGUGUUUUUAUGCAUUUAAAAACUAAAACGAGUCGGUGCCGACCCUAACACAAGACGAAGGUUAAAGUAAGCAUUACAGCUGUUUGUGAGGGUAUAUGAUGGUUGUGUGCCGUGGGCCAACAACCGGAGACCUUAAUGCACACAAUAUGUGUCGCUUGCUGGGAAUGCUAACAGACCUGAGAGUUGAUUGGACAUUGAAAGUAUAUUUUCGAUGUCUUAUGAAGCAUCUCGACAUUUUUGAAAUUUUGUUAUUAGUCAUUUUGGAAAACCAGUAUUUUUCUCCUUCACACUAGCGAGGACAAUUUUGUCAUCUGAAUUGCAUCCUUUCCUUGCAAAUAUCCCAGUCCAAAUCUCACUGUGUUCUUUGUACUGUGGUAAUGAUGUAACCCUCCUUUGCUAAACCUAGACAGGAAGCACAAUCUUUGUGAUUAGACUAGACCAGUAUGCCCAGGUUUGGGCUCACUGUUAAGUGUUUAUUUAUACAAAAUAUCCCUUUGGACUGCAUACAGGUGUGCCAAUGUACCUUUCAAUGAUAAUGUGUGAAACAUCCACCUUAUAGUUAGGUAUAGUAGAUAAGCACAUUUCAUAGUAACAGCAAACAUUUUGUCUUAGGGUCCAUCAUUUUUCUUCAGCAUUUACUCACAUUUUAACCUACCUGUACAAUUUUCUGGUUUGUAACUUUUCAAUUGAAACAAAAAAAAAAUACUCAGCCACUACUACUGUUUUGUAAGUGUUAUUUUUUUUUAAUGAUACAUUUGUACAAAAGCCAUAGGCCAUGUUUUGAUAAUAAAAAAAAAAUCACCUAAUUUAUUAUGUCAAUAAAAAAAAAUCACUGAAUGCGACUGUGUGGAAGAUCUUACUAAUGGAUCAAAAUUUAUCCGGGUGAAGAUCAAGCUCCUUUUUUAUUCUAUUUUCAACAAGCAGAGAGAGGCUGGAGUCUGUCGCUGCAAGACUGUAACUCACGAACACUUGCUUUUUGGUCUUCUUUGCUGCAAAAUAUGGCAGAAACAGAGAGCAAAUUUUACACUUUAGUCAAGUUUGGUUCUCUAAACCUACAUUUCUACUUGAAUUUGUUUUUAUAUGUUUUCUCCAGGUUAUUUAACCCUUGUGUAAUGUUCAUAUUGUUGUUACUCAGCCAGCGUUUGUGGGUCUGAUGGAUGUUUACCUUAUCCCAAUAAACAUCUGUUCUGUA